GUUUUAUUUCCCUGCUCUGAGGGCCUUCUGGCAGAGGCACGUUUUUGCAGCCCACAGUGCUAGUUCCAAGAAGCUGUGAAGGAAGCCGUGCCGUGCUGGGCGGUGUGACUCACCUUGGAGAUGUCGGUGCAUUUCAGCUGAGUAUCAAACAUUCCCUGAAGUGUGGUAGAAGGCAGGAAGAAUGACACUUGCUAAUUUGAAUUUCAGAACACACCUAAACCGCAUUCUGAUCUCCAGUAUCACAGCACACGUAGCAGCUCCCUGUCCGUUUUACCUGCAGCUGUUUUUUGGCUCCACUGGACCUGGUUGGGUUCUUAUACUGUCUGUCAUCCCUUAGAUCUCAGCUACUGUGACAUGCAAACUCCUGGCUUGCUACCAUUAUUCGUGUAGUAUGAAUGAGCUCACAUCACACCUUUUUUCCAAACAUCAGGCUUCUUUGAGGGUACAGACGAUGAAGAGCAGGAGCCUAGAGAAAGACUACUUCCGUACAGAAGCUUACAUCAGCAUCAUUUGCAGAAGCAUCCCUACGUUACCUGAACUCCUAAACUGUCUGCCACAGGACUAUCUGCCAUAGACACCACAGGAACUGGAUUAGAUACUUAUAUGUUUUUCUUUAAUGAUUUUAAAAAAAGUAUUACUGAGUGAGUGCCUUUUAAAUUUUGGAGAGACUUGGUGUUUUCUUGCACGGAUGGCAGAUUUGUAUGCUUGACAUCUUGGUGCCUCCUCAUCUUGCAAACUUUCAGAUACUAAUUCAAAACACAGAAGCACAAAAAUUUGUCAAAGAAUUACUAGAAUGAGAAUUCUGACCUGAGAAAAAGAACUUGUUUUUCUCUUACCCUUAUUCAGGGAAAUUGAUAUGUAUUUGUGACUGGCUUCUUCCCUUUUCCCUCCCUAGAGAAGAAAUUAAAUGCCAACUAUAUGACAUUGUUUAGAUAUAUGAGGUAUUUGGGGGAUAACAAAGAAUAUGGAAGAGGAAAGAUAAAAGCAAUUUGGAUAAGACUUAUGGGAAGUUGAAAAAGCAGGGUAAAGUUUGUCUCCAAUAAUGCUGAAUCUGUUUGUAAAUAGAUGUGUCUUUCUAAACAAUUUACUCUAAAGUCUCACUUUGUGUACUCAUUGGAAGCAAAUAUGAUCUUUGAAUUAAUUCCAUUUUAGGAUAAAGAAAAUAAACCCAGUAAAGUUGUUUGUCUCCA
rnacentral:lncRNA from 1 species